rnacentral:snoRNA from 1 species
ACGGACAUGAUGAGACCUGAUGACGAGUCGUAGAUUAUGCAGAUGACUGGUAACGCUCAGAAGCGUCGAGUUAUUCGGUGCUCCGAUGUGUUCCCUCUCUCUCUGUGUAUUCCUUGACGACAUGGCACUCUGAUCCGCUU